UUAAAUUGAAGAGUUUGAUCAUGGCUCAGAUUGAACGCUGGCGGCAGGCCUAACACAUGCAAGUCGAACGGUAACAGGAAGCAGCUUGCUGCUUUGCUGACGAGUGGCGGACGGGUGAGUAAUGUCUGGGAAACUGCCCGAUGGAGGGGGAUAACUACUGGAAACGGUAGCUAAUACCGCAUAACGUCGCAAGACCAAAGAGGGGGACCUUAGGGCCUCUUGCCAUCGGAUGUGCCCAGAUGGGAUUAGCUAGUAGGUGGGGUAAAGGCUCACCUAGGCGACGAUCCCU
rnacentral:rRNA from 1 species